UGGGGAAUUUUGGACAAUGGGGGAAACCCUGAUCCAGCCAUCCCGCGUGUGCGAUGAAGGCCUUCGGGUUGUAAAGCACUUUUGGCAGGAAAGAAACGUCAUGGGUUAAUACCCCGUGAAACUGACGGUACCUGCAGAAUAAGCACCGGCUAACUACGUGCCAGCAGCCGCGGUAAUACGUAGGGUGCAAGCGUUAAUCGGAAUUACUGGGCGUAAAGCGUGCGCAGGCGGUUCGGAAAGAAAGAUGUGAAAUCCCAGAGCUCAACUUUGGAACUGCAUUUUUAACUACCGAGCUAGAGUGUGUCAGAGGGAGGUGGGAUUCCGCGUGUAGCAGUGAAAUGCGUAGAUAUGCGGAGGAACACCGAUGGCGAAGGCAGCCUCCUGCGAUAACACUGACGCUCAUGCACGAAAGCGUGGGGAGCAAACAGG
rnacentral:rRNA from 1 species